UACGAAGGGUGCAAGCGUUACUCGGAAUUACUGGGCGUAAAGGGUGCGUAGGCGGUUCGUUAAGUCUGUCGUGAAAUCCCCGGGCUCAACCUGGGAAUGGCGAUGGAUACUGGCGAGCUAGAGUGUGUCAGAGGAUGGUGGAAUUCCCGGUGUAGCGGUGAAAUGCGUAGAGAUCGAGAGGAACAUCAGUGGCGAAGGCGGCCAUCUGGGACAACACUGACGCUGAAGCACGAAAGCGUGGGGAGCAAACAGG
rnacentral:rRNA from 1 species